AGGAGACCCAGCCCAACCUACCCCCAUUCUUUGCUGGAAUUUUUUAUACCACAUCUUAUUCAUCUGUUGCUGGACACAGGUUGCUUCCAUAUCUUGGCUAUUGUAAAUAAUGCUGCUGUGAACAUUGGGAUACCAUUGGAUUUUUAGUCCACCCUAAAUGACUGUAUAUGCCUGAGCCCUAAUUGCGAACAGGUUCCUGUUUUUACCGUGGGACUCCUUACCCAGAGCACAGAAGAGAACAGAAACUCCUGUGCCAGCCAUGGUUCCCAGGCAGCACCCCCUUUCCACACCUCCUCGGCUUGGGAGAAAGAGGGCUUACUUGCCCUGGCCAUCUGUGCCACCAGAAGUGCUGGCAGAAAAGUGAAACAGAUUGAAAGAACAAGCAAGGAGAAUGGGGACUUCCCUGGUGGUGCAGUGCUUAAGAAUCCGCCUGCCAAUGCAGGGGACAUGGGUUCUAGCCCUGGUCCGGGAAGAUCCCACAUACCACGGAGCAACUAAGCCCAUGUGCCAAAACUACUGAGCCUGCGCUCUAGAACCCGUGAGCCACAACCACUGAGCCCACGUGCCACAACUACUGAAGCCCGCGCACUCUAGGGCCCGUGCCCUGCAACAAAGAGAAGCCACUGCGAUGAGAAGCCCAUGCACCACAACAAAGAGUAGC